rnacentral:rRNA from 1 species
CACGUAGGGCGCAAGCGUUGUCCGGAAUUAUUGGGCGUAAAGCGCGCGCAGGCGGUCCUUUAAGUCUGAUGUGAAAUCUUGCGGCUCAACCGCAAGCGGUCAUUGGAAACUGGGGGACUUGAGUACAGAAGAGGAAAGCGGAAUUCCACGUGUAGCGGUGAAAUGCGUAGAGAUGUGGAGGAACACCAGUGGCGAAGGCGGCUUUCUGGUCUGUAACUGACGCUGAGGCGCGAAAGCGUGGGGAGCAAACAGG